UACGUAGGGCGCAAGCGUUGUCCGGAAUCAUUGGGCGUAAAGAGCUCGUAGGUGGUCUGUUACGUCUGCUGUGAAAACCUAGGGCUUAACCCUGGGCCUGCAGUGGAUACGGGCAGACUUGAGUACUGCAGGGGAGACUGGAAUUCCUGGUGUAGCGGUGGAAUGCGCAGAUAUCAGGAGGAACACCGGUGGCGAAGGCGGGUCUCUGGGCAGUAACUGACGCUGAGGAGCGAAAGCGUGGGGAGCGAACAGG
rnacentral:rRNA from 1 species